UACGUAGGGUGCAAGCGUUAAUCGGAAUUACUGGGCGUAAAGCGUGCGCAGGCGGUUUUGUAAGUCUGUCGUGAAAGCCCCGGGCUCAACCUGGGAAUUGCGAUGGAGACUGCAAGGCUUGAAUCUGGCAGAGGGGGGUAGAAUUCCACGUGUAGCAGUGAAAUGCGUAGAGAUGUGGAGGAACACCGAUGGCGAAGGCAGCCCCCUGGGCCAAAACUGACGCUCAGGCACGAAAGCGUGGGGAGCAAACAGG
rnacentral:rRNA from 1 species